UUGACCUCGGAUCAGGUAGGAUUACCCGCUGAACUUAAGCAUAUCAAUAAGCGGAGGAAAAGAAACCAACAGGGAUUGCCUCAGUAACGGCGAGUGAAGCGGCAACAGCUCAGAUUUGGAAUCUGGUCCCUCGGGGCCCGAGUUGUAAUCUGGAGAGGAUGCUUCUGGCGCGGCGCCGUCCGAGUUCCCUGGAACGGGACGCCGGAGAGGGUGAGAGCCCCGUACGGUCGGACGCCUAGCCUGUGUGAAGCUCCUUCGACGAGUCGAGUAGUUUGGGAAUGCUGCUCAAAAUGGGAGGUAAAUUUCUUCUAAAGCUAAAUACCGGCCAGAGACCGAUAGCGCACAAGUAGAGUGAUCGAAAGAUGAAAAGCACUUUGAAAAGAGGGUCAAACAGUACGUGAAAUUGUUGAAAGGGAAGCGCCCGUGGCCAGACUUGUGCCCGGCAGACCAUCCGGCGCCCCCGCGCCGGUGCACUCUGCCGGGCGCAGGCCAGCAUCGGUUUUCCCAGGGGGAUAAAGGCGGCGGGAACGUGGCUCCCUCGGGAGCGUUAUAGCCCGCCGCGUCAUGCCUCUGGGGGGACCGAGGACCGCGCAUUUAUGCAAGGAU
rnacentral:rRNA from 2 species